GAUGAACGCUGGCGGCGUGCCUAAUACAUGCAAGUCGAGCGAACAGACGAGGAGCUUGCUCCACUGACGUUAGCGGCGGAAGGGUGAGUAACACGUGGAUAACCUACCUAUAAAACUGGGAGAACUUCGGGAAACCGGAGCUAAUACCGGAUAAUAUAUUGAACCGCAUGGUUCCAUAGUGAAAGACGGUUUUGCUGUCACUUAUAGAUGUAUCCGCGCCGCAGUAGCUAGUUGGUAAGGUAACGGCUUACCAAGGCGACGAUGCGUAGCCGACCUGAGAGGGUGAUCGGCCACACUGCAACUGAGACACGGUCCAGACUCCUACGGGAGGCAGCGGUAGGGAAUCUUCCGCUAUGGGCGAGAGCCUACCGGGGCCACGCCGCGUGAGUGAUGAGGGUCUUCGGAUCGUAGAUCUCUGUUAUUAGGAAAGGACAAAUGUGUAAGUAACUAUGCCCGUCUUGACGGUACCUAAUCAGAAAGCCCCGGCUAACUCCGUG
rnacentral:rRNA from 1 species